UAAUGUUAACAACCACCCUCUGACUUUGUUUUGAAUAUUCCUAGUUUCACUUUCCUCUUUGCUUAAAGCACUGUAUAUCUGUAUAAACCCACCAGAGGAGAAACUGAUGUCCCCAAGGUUCUUCUUAAAAAGAACGAGAACCCAAGCAUUAUGAUGCAAAUGCUUUCUGGAAGGUGCAACUGCUUGCAAGAUGAUUCUUCAAAUGGUUAUGGAACUGUGACCUUCUCUCUGGAAUGCAAGAUGAAAAGAGUUCUGGAGACGGAUGACGGAGAUGGUUGUACAGCAAUGUGUAUGUACUUAAAACCCCUCAACUGUAUACUUAAAAUGGUUAAGAGGGUAACUCGUGUAUUUUCCCACAAUUAAAAAUUUUAAGUAAAUAUAUUUCUUAAGAGUGCAGCUUUUGAUGGCAUAGAAUUCCCUCCCUCUUCUUGGUCUCCAGAUGAGAGGGAGCAUAAAAUAGGGAGGAUGUGACAUCUUGUGGCAUUUAUUCCUUAGACCACUGCAUCGAGGUGGUCUGAUUUUCAAUUAUUCAUUAAACAAAUAUCUACUGACCAUUUACAAUGUACUAGGCCUUGUUCUAGAGGCUGACAGCAAACAAAAAAGGUCCUCUAAAUUUCCUAUCCAUAGGGAUCUUACCUUCCAGCAGGUGGAGAAAAACCAUAAAUAAAAUAAACAAGUAAGAUACAUAGUAUUUAACAACAAACUAGUGAAUAAAACCAAAAAGAAGCAGACUCACAGAUAUAGAGAACAAACGUGAUUAUCAGUGGGGAGAGGGAAGGGGCGGGGCAACUUAGGGGUGGGGGGAAUGGUCAUUAUGGGAUUAUAUGAAAUCGUGUGCGAAAGUUUUGAAAAUUGUAAAACACUAUAGAAUUUAAAGAAUCUUUCAUUCAAUUUAAAAAAAGAAAAAAACAAAGAAAAAACUAAAUAAAAGAAAAAAGAUAUACAAUAUUUAGAUGGCAAUAUGAGUAUGGAGAGGGUGGAUAAAACACGUAUAAGGGGUGUUAUUUUAAAUAGAAUUGUCAGAGGAGACUUCACUGAGGAAAUAUAUGAGUAAGACUUGAAUUAAGGAAGUUAUCCAUGGAAGUAUCUGGGGGAAGAAUGUUCCAAACAAAAGGAAAAGUCAGUGCAAAGGCCCUGAGGCAGAUGCAUGACUGGUACAUACAGGGAAGAGCAAAGGGGUCAUAAUGGCUGAAGCAGAGUAAGGAAGGGGGAAGUAGUCUAAGAUGAGGUUAGAGACAUCAAAGAGGUCAUCCCAGAUCACGAAGGCCAUGGUAGCCCACUGUUAGUAAGACUUUGGCUCUUACUCUGAGAUGGCAGCUAGAGGAAUGACAUGAUCUGACUUCUGUGUUAAAAGGAUCUCGGUUGGGGUGGGGGAGGUCAAGGGCAGAACCAGGGAGACUAGUAGGAUUGCCAUAUUCCAGGUAAGAGAUUUUAAGAGCUCAAACCAGGUAGACAGCAAGGGUGGUAAGACAGUAGGGUGGUAAGAAGUGGUCAGAUUCUGGGUGUAUUUUGGGGAAAGGGCCGACAGGAUUUUCUGGGAGGCUGGCUCAAGAGGAAGAAGGAAGUGAAGGUUAAAGAACACCCUACUAGUUUCCUGUGCCCGCUGGAACACAACACCACAAACCUGGCAGCUUAAAACGACACACGUUUAUUCUGUCACAAUUCUAAAGGCCAGAAGGCUGAAACAAAGGAGUUGCCAGGGCUGCCCUGAGUCCAGAAGCUCUGGGGCUAUUCUGCUCCUUGCCUCUCCCAGUUUCUGGGGAUCCAGGCAUUCCCUAGGUGGAGGCUGCAGGACUCCAGUCUCUGCUUCCACCCUCACAUGGCCUUCUCCUCUGUCUAUGUCAUCUCUUUUGUCUCUCACAAGAGCACUUGUCAUUGGAUUUAGGACCCACCCAGAUAAUUCAGCAUGAUCUCAUCUCAAGAUCCUUAACUACCUCUGCCAAGACCUUUCCCCCAGAUAAGGUCACAUUCACAGGUACUGGGAGUAAGAACGUGGCUGUAUCUUUUGGGGAGACACCAUUGAAUUCACUGCAAUGACCAUGCUUUUAACCUGAGCAACCAUGAGGAUGUAAUCACCAUUAAGUGAGAUGGUGAAGAUAUGGGUUGAACAGAGUUGGGAGAGGAGGCUAGGACCUCAGUGUUGGACACGUCAGGUCUGAGAGGCUUACUUGAUAUUCAGUGGAGAUGUUGGGCGGGCAGCUGGAUGAGCAAACCUGGAGCUGAGGGCAGUGAAGGACUUGAGCCAUAAGUACGGAGGUACCAGGAUGCGGCAGCAUGGCAAGCCAUGGGGCCUGUGAUGUAACCCCGGGAGGGAUGAAGACAGAAGAGGGAAGCCAUGGGACUUCCCUGGUGGCCCAGUGGUUAAGACUCUGCCCUUCCAAGGCAGGGUGUGUGGGUUCAAUCCCUGGCUGGGGAUGGGGAACUAAGAUUCUGCAUGCUGCAUAGCAUGGUCAAAGAAAAAAGAAAGAAAAACGAGAGAAGCCAUGCCAGUGUUCGGAGGAUGCAGCUAAGAUCUGAGAAGGGAAGUCGGGCAGGUUGAGGAGAAACAGAAAUGUGUAAGGUUCUAGAAGCUGGGUGGAGAAAUUGCUGGAAGGAGGAAGGAGUGAUCAACUCCAUAUUCUGACCAUGGCAUCAUAGUUGCAAAUUCUCAGACCUAGGGCUUCAGGUGAAAGGUGAAAUUUCCUCUGUAGUUUCCUAUAACAAAAUUGUGCAAUUUUCAUGUAACUUCUGUUUUAUGAUGUGGGAAAGCCAGUGGCAUCUGACUGAAAUCAUAACAGUUACCCUGAAGUUCCUCAUAAUGAAGUAUGUUUUCAAAGCGUUGGCGUUAUUAAUUUGAUCAGCAAAGCCUUCUCACCAGGUCAGUGUUUACUGCAUUUGACCCAGAAGGGAAAGAAAGGCAUCUGUCUCAACCCCACACAAGCCCUCCUGUGUAGAUGCCAUUUCACACGCGUGGUCACAGCUCGUUGUUGGAGGAAUUCAGCGCGCCCUGUGUGACUCCACAGGGAGAGGACUCCAGAGACUUGUACCUGUUUCUCCUGACUUUGCCUCGCACACCUUUUCCCUUCGCUGAUUUGGCACUGUAUCCGCUCAUAUAAUAAAUCUUAGUCGCGAGCACAACCAUAUGCUGAGUUCUGUGAGACCUCAUAGUGAAUCAUCAAACCCGGGGGCGGCCUUGGGACCCCCGACACAGUUCCUCUUCAUGUGGGCCCCUCCAUGAGGUCUGGACCUCCUCAUAGCACGGUGGCUGGGUUCCAAAAACAAGUAUCCCGAGAGAAGGGUCCAGGUGGACCUCACCUCAGAAGUCACGUGGCAUCACUUCUGCCCAUUCUAUUAGUUGAGAUGUUCAUAAAGGCCCACCCAGGUUCAAGGGGAAGAUACACAGACUCCUCCUUCUGAUGGGGGUGUGGCAAGGUUCCAGAAAAGGAUGUGGAUGGAAAUACUGUUUAAGCCAUUUUUGGAAAAUAAAAUCAACCAUACCCUUAAGAGCUCCUGCACCUACAUUCCCUUUGAUAUGUCUCUGAAUACCUUCGGGAUAGGUUUCUCAGUUUGAGACCACUGGUACAGUGAAUAAAAACAUUGGCUUUUGAGUCAGAAAGACCGGAUUUGAAUCCUGGCUCUGUCACUUCCUGCCAAGAGAGCAAUGCCCAUUAGCCAUUACCAAGCAUGCAUACUCCUUAAAGUUCUAAGGGUUUAGGAACGGUUGCU